GAUGAACGCUAGCGGCAGGCUUAACACAUGCAAGUCGAGGGGUAUAGGUUUUCGGACCUAGAGACCGGCGCACGGUUGCGUAACGCGUAUGCAAUCUACCUUUCACAGAGGGAUAGCCCAGAGAAAUUUGGAUUAAUACCUCAUAGUAUAGCAGUUUCGCAUGAAACCACUAUUAAAGUAUCAACGGUGAAAGAUGAGCAUGCGUCCCAUUAGCUAGAUGGUAAGGUAACGGCUUACCAUGGCUACGAUGGGUAGGGGUCCUGAGAGGGAGAUCCCCCACACUGGUACUGAGACACGGACCAGACUCCUACGGGAGGCAGCAGUGAGGAAUAUUGGUCAAUGGACGCAAGUCUGAACCAGCCAUGCCGCGUGCAGGAUGACGGUCCUAUGGAUUGUAAACUGCUUUUGUACGAGAAGAAACAACAUUACGUGUAAUGUCUUGACGGUAUCGUAAGAAUAAGGAUCGGCUAACUCCGUGCCAGCCGCCGCCGUAAGAC
rnacentral:rRNA from 1 species